UACGAAGGGGGCUAGCGUUGUUCGGAAUUACUGGGCGUAAAGGGCGUGUAGGCGGCCAGCUAAGUCACGUGUGAAAGCCCCGGGCUUAACCCGGGAAUUGCGCGUGAGACUGGUUGGCUAGAAUCCGGGAGAGGGUAGUGGAAUUCCCAGUGUAGAGGUGAAAUUCGUAGAUAUUGGGAAGAACACCAGUGGCGAAAGCGGCUACCUGGACCGGCAUUGACGCUAAGGCGCGAAAGCGUGGGGAGCAAACAGG
rnacentral:rRNA from 1 species